rnacentral:rRNA from 1 species
UAGGGAAUCUUCCGCAAUGGGCGAAAGCCUGACGGAGCAACGCCGCGUGAGUGAUGAAGGUCUUCGGAUCGUAAAACUCUGUUAUUAGGGAAGAACAAAUGUGUAAGUAACUAUGCACGUCUUGACGGUACCUAAUCAGAAAGCCACGGCUAACUACGUGCCAGCAGCCGCGGUAAUACGUAGGUGGCAAGCGUUAUCCGGAAUUAUUGGGCGUAAAGCGCGCGUAGGCGGUUUUUUAAGUCUGAUGUGAAAGCCCACGGCUCAACCGUGGAGGUUCAUUGGAAACUGGAAAACUUGAGUGCAGAAGAGGAAAGUGGAAUUCCAUGUGUAGCGGUGAAAUGCGCAGAGAUAUGGAGGAACACCAGUGGCGAAGGCGACUUUCUGGUCUGUAACUGACGCUGAUGUGCGAAAGCGUGGGGAUCAAACAGG